UUCAAUUUUUUUCUUCUAAUUUUGAGGAACAUUAUAGUUUCUCAAGUUUUCAUUGGUUCCCAUUUCUCUGCUUGAAGAUAUUUUGAUAAACUUCUGAGAAUGCCAAUUUUUUAUGUUAAGUGUAUGGUUUGUCUUAGAAUAGAGCAAGAGUAUUUGGAAGGUGAGUCUCCAAGUGUGGCAAAACUUUUUUCUUAGGCUCCAUACAUUGAAUUGAAUAUUGUAGAAUUAAUUUGAAUGUAGCCAACUAUUGGUCAAGAGCCUUUGCUUUGUGCAUUCUUCCUACCUUUUGUAUCAACUUCUAUCGUGUUCUUCUUUACUGAUAUGAGAGAGAGAGAUCUCAAGAAACUUCCUGAAGGCAUGGAGGCUAGAACAAUGAGUUAAUUCUUAAACCAAUCUAUUAUGUUUCUCAAAAUUAACACCACCCUUUGGAUAUGAUGAUCAUAACCAGUUGUGACUAUAUUGAAAUUUGUUUGUGCUCUGUUGGUUGAUUCCCAUUUACUGCUUUAAGCUUUCGUUAAUCAUUUCAAGCAACUUAAUCCAUAGCAACUUGUCUGUUUGUGUUCUAAGAUCUGGCAAUGCAUGACAGGUUAAGCAUAUUCCCCCACAACACCAAUGACUUUCUUAUGUAUCCAUGUGCUUUUGCUUGAGCUUGUCUGUUCUUUUUUUUCUUCUUAUUUAUUAUAUGAUUCUGUGAUGAUCUUAACUUUAGCCUCUUAGCUAGUUGCGCUUUGUUUAUUAAUGUGUUAUGUUUUUUAAUUAUUAUAUCUAGAUGUUUGAAUUAAUUAGUCACAAUCAUCAAGGUUGGACAUCCUUAUGGUUAUUUCCCGGUUGAAGUGACUACAAGUAAGAUAAGAAUGACGGAUACACAAGAGAAGUCAUCCAAUCUGCCAAAGGGGAAAGAAAUUGCUUGUUUGACAAGUAUGAUUGUGAAGACUUAAGUAUCAUUGAUAAUAACCAUAACAAUGAGGAAAAUACAGAGGGUUCCGGCUUUCCGUCCUUAGUUACUACGCGGCAACAACGUGCAUGAGGACAAGUUAGACAAAAUUUUGCUGAUAUGAUGGAACAAGAUGCAACAGACACGGCGAUUAGGAGACAUAGGCGUCGUCUUCUAGACUAACUAUGCAGAGGUGGUGAAUUUGUUUAAGGAGAAUCAAAGUACCUGGCCAUGAGAGAUUUUUUUUUUUUUUUGGAUUUGAAAUAUUUUAGUAGAUGUUUUAUAAUUUUUAAUCUGGUGAAACAAUGUCAUGAUCAAGUGGUA